rnacentral:rRNA from 1 species
UACGAAGGGGGCUAGCGCUGUUCGGCCGUACUGGGCGCAAAGGGCGCGUGGGCGGCGCGUUAAGUCAGGUGUGAAAGCCCUGGGCUCAACCCAGGAAUUGCACUUGAUACUGACGUGCUUGAAUCCGGAAGAGGAUGACGGAAUUCCCAGUGUAGAGGUGAAAUUCAUUGAUAUUGGGAAGAACACCAGUGGCGAAGGCGGUCAUCUGGUCCGGUAUUGACGCUGAGGCGCGAAAGCGUGGGGAGCAAACAGG